CACAGCGCGAUUCUGCGAACCUUCCACAGCGCGCUGCACGAGGCCCUACAACCCCUCCCCUAUUUUAGCGGACGGUCCCUUAUAGUGGACGACCUGUGACCUGAUGGGUCAAGGGUCGUACCGUAUAUUAUGGGUUACAUUACAGCUACGGCCAGCAUAAUUUUUGUGUUCUUGUAACGUUAGACUUAGAGUAGAAGUAGAUUUCCUGUGUUUUUAUGUAAUUGUCUUUUUUUUUUUGGUUUCCCACCCCUCCCACGUGUGCAGAAUUCCAGAAAAGGCGGCUCUUUGAGUUUGCUCCUGAUCUAAGGCCUGGCUAUGGAAACAUCUGUACCAGCUCCUUGUCUUCGGCAGUAUGACACUGAGGAUGACCUUCUCCGUGACUACUGGAGAAGAGGAUACCAGUACUCUGAAAUUUCUCUUUUUUUAUCACAAUUUCACAAUGUUCACCUCAAUAUUUAUUUUAGAUUCGAGGCAAUGACAGACAUAACGUCAUCUUCGGGCGGGAUGAGGCUGGAUGUCCCACCAGACGACAACUUUGGCAAAUGCAUUACUCUGGUGCAUUUGACGAGGACCAGGCAAAUUUCAUGGGUGAAUGCAUCCAGAAAGAGGUGCCGAUCCCUCCGGAUUUGUCCUUGGCGAUGGAAUACCGCAUCAUGGUGCUCCUCCCAGAAGCGCUGGCUGUCAUUUACCACAUAAUGAAAGGCACAGUAACGAUGGAGGAGGAUAGGGAUUAUAUCCGGAAGGCGGGGUGUUGGGAAGACCUUUAAAGACCAAUAAUGUUAAAACACAACGUUAACAGUUCUUGAAAAUAGUAAUUUGGGAUACAGUAGGUAUUAUUCAAGGAACAAAGAUGUUUGGACACAAGCUACACUUGUCUGAUGUUAUGGAACAUUGAAUCUUGCAAACUAUCUUUUCGGUUAUUAAUUUCAGGCAUCAAUUAAUCCAGUUAGAUUCUGUCAAUGUCUAAAUGACAUCACGGAUACCACCUCUGUAAUGUAAAGCAAUUUCUAUACAUUGUUGGGGAAGACCACAGUUUCUAAGUUUAAGUAUGGUACAAAUCGUAUUUACUGUCUGAAUGUUUAAAUUUGAAUGCUCAUGAAGAAAUUUAUUUCAAACAAUCACAACUUUACUUACAAGUUACAAUGCUAUGGUAGUGGAUUUUCAUGUUUCAAGUUUGAAAGUACAAGCUGUAGAUAGUGGAAAAAAACAAAGCAGUGUACGAAAAGAGAUAUUGAAGUCCUAACAGUGACAUUAGUAAAGGCAAUACUCGUUUAUGCAAGAAAAGGUCACAUUUACAAUCUUUCUUUCUAGCUUCAAGCAAGAAAAAAAAUCAAUUAAACCUACUAGUAGUGUUAAUUAAAGAAAUACACCUUCAUAUCAUGCAAAAUGUUGUUUGUAAGGAUCAAUAAAAUUUUGUAAAAGAAUGA